rfam:Aedes albopictus isolate Foshan contig171161, whole genome shotgun sequence.
UGUUCUGUAGCUUAGUUGGUUAAAGCGCCGGACUAGCGAUAAUGGAGUCGUGGGUUCGAAUCCCACCAAAACAA